UACGAAGGGGGCUAGCGUUGUUCGGAAUCACUGGGCGUAAAGCGCACGUAGGCGGAUUGUUAAGUCGGGGGUGAAAUCCUGAGGCUCAACCUCAGAACUGCCUCCGAUACUGGCAAUCUCGAGUUCGGAAGAGGUUGGUGGAACAGCUAGUGUAGAGGUGAAAUUCGUAGAUAUUAGCUAGAACACCAGUGGCGAAGGCGGCCAACUGGUCCGAUACUGACGCUGAGGUGCGGAAGCGUGGGGAGCAAACAGG
rnacentral:rRNA from 1 species